GUGCCAGCCGCCGCGGUAAUACGAAGGGACCUAGCGUAGUUCGGAAUUACUGGGCUUAAAGAGUUCGUAGGUGGUUAAAAAAGUUGGUGGUGAAAUCCCAGAGCUUAACUCUGGAACUGCCAUCAAAACUUUUUAGCUAGAGUAUGAUAGAGGAAAGCAGAAUUUCUAGUGUAGAGGUGAAAUUCGUAGAUAUUAGAAAGAAUACCAAUUGCGAAGGCAGCUUUCUGGAUCAUUACUGACGCUGAGGAACGAAAGCAUGGGUAGCGAAGAGGAUUAGAUACCCUCGUAGUCCAUGCCGUAAACGAUGUGUGUUAGACGUUGGAAAUUUAUUUUCAGUGUCGCAGCGAAAGCAUUAAACACACCGCCUGGGGAGUACGACCGCAAGGUUAAAACUCAAAUGAAUUGACGGGGACCCGCACAAGUAGUGGAGCAUGUGGUUUAAUUCGAAGAUACGCGCAGAACCUUACCAACACUUGACAUGUUCGUCGCGACUUUAAGAGAUUAAAGUUUUCGGUUCGGCCGGACGAAACACAGGUGCUGCAUGGCUGUCGUCAGCUCGUGUCGUGAGAUGUUGGGUUAAGUCCCGCAACGAGCGCAACCCUCACUUUUAGUUGCCAUCAUUAAGUUGGGCACUCUGAAAGAACUGCCAGUGAUAAGCUGGAGGAAGGUGGGGAUGACGUCAAGUCCUCAUGGCCCUUACGUGUUGGGCUACACACGUGCUACAAUGGCAUUUACAAUAGGAAGCAAGAUGGCGACAUCAAGCAAAUCCUAAAAAGAUGCCUCAGUUCGGAUUGUACUCUGCAACUCGAGUACAUGAAGCUGGAAUUACUAGUAAUCGCGGAUCAGCGCGCCGCGGUGAAUACGUUCCCGGGUCUUGCACACACCGCCCGUC
rnacentral:rRNA from 1 species